UUCAGGCUGAGCUGAUUUUUGAAGGGCUCACUUGCCACUCGCUCACCUUCCAGGGUGCAGAAGUCCUGCCAGGCAUUUCCUCCCCGGAAUUCUAAGGGAUGUGCUGCGAAGCGCUGGGUUUUAUGGAGAGGGAAAGCCGGGGUCCCUGCCUUGCUCUCACAUUCCUGCUGACACCCAGUGGCUUCCCAGCACAACUGCACAACCUCCUCCGCAGCGAGGGAACUGUGAAUUCACAGCAGCAUUUAAAGGAAUUUCAGCUAAUCUCUCUGGCAUCGACGUCCUCUUCCUUUUUAAUAGCAUUUUAGAGAGAAAAAUAAGGAAAACAAGGGAAAUGGCUUGUUUGGAAACACGCUGCAGGACAGCAUCUCCAGGAUGCGACAGUCCUGCUCCAUCGGUUGGGACCUGGCUCUGGCUUUGGAAAGAAGAAAUGAUCUCAGGAAAGAAAAAAAACACCAACAAAACAGAGGAGAAGGGCCCUCUGACUCUUGCCUUUUCAUGCAAGAAGAGGUGUGAUGGGAAGGGAAACACUUUGCAGAAGCAUGAUCACAAAUCUAGAAAAAUGUUGAUGGAGGCGACACGACUCAGCCCUUCACCUAAAACCUGAAGGAUGCUUUAGCGGGUCUAGAAUUAAGGAGGGCUGCUUGAUUGCUGGAAGAUAACUGCGUUGUUCAGAGCAGUGCUUUUUGGAUGUGACAUGUAAACCACAGCUCAGGAAUGGUUUGGUUCAAAAUUCCAGUGGGAAGGAGAAGGCGUGAGGUCUCCACAAGAGCCUGGAGAGAGCUGGAAUGUCAGAGCCCUGGCUGCAGCAGAGGAUGAUGCUCUUGAAGCAGGGAUGACAAGGUCAAAGGAGUAGAGAGCAAUGCCUGUAUGUCCACAGGACA